CACGAAAAAAAGAGGAAGGCUUCAGGAGUGCUCCUAUUGAAGGUUUUUGGCCUGGGGAAGCUGGAGGUGGGCUAACUAGAAAUGGGACAUGGUGUGUGACUGGACUGGGGAGCAUGUUUGGAUUUCCCUCGUUGGGCCUGUGUUGGAAGCAGGGGACAAAAACUAGGACAGCUGGCAGUCUUUGAGCAAGCUCUGACAAUAGUAGGCCCAUUGUUGAAGAGGUUGUGGUUUGGUUGGUUGCUACAGAGGUUGUGGGUCAGAGUUCCAUUGUCAGAUAUGGUCUGGCCAUUGUCUAUUUUAUAUACAGUUUCUCCGUGCUAAGCAAAUGUGCUACAUAUCACUGUGGGGACAUCUCCUUUCAAAGAAGGGAUAGCUAAGGCUAUAGACUCCAGAGCCAGAAUGACUCAGUUUAAAUUCCAGGUCUGCCACUUACAAGCUGUGUGACCCUGAGCAAGUCACCCAACCUCACUGUGGUUCAAUUUCCAAUUCUUAAAUGGGACAAUAAUAGAACCUGCCUCACUGGGUUGCUAGAAGAAGUAAUGAAAUAAUAUGUAAAGCACUUAGGACAGUCUCUGGUCCAUAGUACUUACUAGGUUUAUUGAUAGUAUCAUUCUUCUUCUCUUUCUCUACUUGGUCUGUAGUUCAAGGUCCUUAAACUAUCUUGGACCUUGAAGCAGAAUUCUGAUGCUGGAGGUGGUGACAUAAAAGGAGCUCAUAUCUAAUAAUCUCACAGUAACUGUUCCAGCUCUGCAUGGUCUACCUGUAGAUUUUUUUUUUUUUUUUUUUUGAGACGGAGUCUCACUCCGUCACCCAGGCUGGAGUGCAGCGGCGAGAUCUCUGCUCACUGCAACCUCCGCCCCCCAGGUUCAA
rnacentral:lncRNA from 1 species